rnacentral:rRNA from 1 species
ACGGAGGGUGCAAGCGUUAUUCGGAAUUACUGGGCGUAAAGGGCGUGCAGGCGGGAGAGCAAGUCUGAUGUGAAAGCCCGGGGCUUAACCCCGGAAGGGCAUUGGAAACUGCUUUUCUUGAAUGCGGGAGAGGAAGAUGGAAUUUCCGGUGUAGGGGGAAAAUGCGUAGAGAUGAGGAGGAGGACCGAUGGCGAAGGCGAUCUACUGGAUCAUAAUUGAGGCUGAGAUGCGAAAGCGUGGGGAGCAAACAG